GCUUAAAUAAUUUAAAAUAAAAUAUUGGUCUUGUAAGCCAAAAAUGAAUAUUAUAUUCUUAAAGCU
rnacentral:tRNA from 1 species